UGCGUAGGCGGUGCGGUAAGUCUUCUGUGAAACCUCCGGGCUUAACUCGGAGCCUGCAGGGGAAACGUAGCCGUGCUGGAGUAUGGGAGAGGUGAGUGGAAUUCCCGGUCGUAGCGGUGAAAUGCGUAGAUAUCGGGAGGAACACCUGUGGCGAAAGCGGCUCACUGGACCAUUACUGACGCUGAUGCACGAAAGCUAGGGGAGGCAAACAGGAUUAGAUACCCUGGUAGUCCUAGCCCUAAACGAUGAUCGCUUGGUGUGACAGGUACCCAAUCCUGUCGUGCCGGAGCUAACGCGUUAAGCGAUCCGCCUGGGGAGUACGGUCGCAAGGCUGAA
rnacentral:rRNA from 1 species